UACGGGGGGAGCAAGCGUUGUUCGGAUUUACUGGGCGUAAAGGGCGCGUAGGCGGUCGUGACAAGUCACUUGUGAAAUCUCCGGGCUUAACUCGGAACGAUCAAGUGAUACUGUCGGACUAGAGUACAGAAGGGGCAACUGGAAUUCUCGGUGUAGCGGUGAAAUGCGUAGAUAUCGAGAGGAACACCUGCGGCGAAGGCGGGUUGCUGGGCUGAUACUGACGCUGAGGCGCGAAAAGCCAGGGGAGCGAACGGG
rnacentral:rRNA from 1 species